GAUACCCUAUUAUUUUGAGUGUAACAAUUUGUCUUUAAUUAUUAAUAGUUAAGAUCUUUAAAGUUAAAAGAUUUGGCGGUAUUUUAGUCUGUUCAGAGGAACCUGCUUUUUAAUCGAUGAUCCACGAUUAGUUUUACUUUAGCUUGAAAAUUUAUAUAUCGUUGUUUAUAAAAAUUUCAGGAGAAUUAUAAUUUUUAGUAUUUUUAAUUAUGUUUUAUUUCAGAUCAAGGUGUAGUUUAUGCUGUAGUUAAAGUGGGUUACAUUGUAUUUAUAUUUGGUUUUUUUGUUUAUAACUUAAAAUAAACUGGAUUUGAUAGUAAAAGUUAAAUAUAUGUAUUUUGAUUUAGCUCUAAAAUAUGUACACAUCGCC
rnacentral:rRNA from 1 species